UGGGGAAUAUUGCGCAAUGGGCGAAAGCCUGACGCAGCGAUGCCGCGUGGGGGAUGAAGGCCUUCGGGUCGUAAACCUCUGUCGGGCAGGAAGAAGGUGCUGGGUGCCAAUCAGCCUGGCAUUGACGGUACUGCCAAAGGAAGCACCGGCCAACUCCGUGCCAGCAGCCGCGGUAAUACGGAGGGUGUAAGCGUUAAUCGGAAUCACUGGGCGUAAAGCGCGCGUAGGCUGCGAGAUAAGUCAGGGGUGCAAGCCCACGGCUCAACCGUGGAAUAGCCUUUGAAACUGUCUUGCUUGAAUCCGGAAGAGGGUGGCGGAAUUCCAGGUGUAGGAGUGAAAUCCGUAGAUAUCUGGAGGAACACCGGUGGCGAAGGCGGCCACCUGGUCCGGGAUUGACGCUGAGGCGCGAAAGCGUGGGGAGCAAACAGG
rnacentral:rRNA from 1 species